CUCAGGACGAACGCUGGCGGCGUGCUUAACACAUGCAAGUCGAACGAUGAUCAGGAGCUUGCUCCUGUGAUUAGUGGCGAACGGGUGAGUAACACGUGAGUAACCUGCCCCUGACUCUGGGAUAAGCGUUGGAAACGACGUCUAAUACUGGAUAUGACCGCCGAUCGCAUGGUCUGGUGGUGGAAAGAUUUUUUGGUUGGGGAUGGACUCGCGGCCUAUCAGCUUGUUGGUGAGGUAAUGGCUCACCAAGGCGACGACGGGUAGCCGGCCUGAGAGGGUGACCGGCCACACUGGGACUGAGACACGGCCCAGACUCCUACGGGAGGCAGCAGUGGGGAAUAUUGCACAAUGGGCGAAAGCCUGAUGCAGCAACGCCGCGUGAGGGAUGACGGCCUNNGGGUUGUAAACCUCUU
rnacentral:rRNA from 1 species